UACGGAGGAUCCGAGCGUUAUCCGGAUUUAUUGGGUUUAAAGGGUGCGUAGGCGGCCUUUUAAGUCAGCGGUGAAAGUCUGUGGCUCAACCAUAGAAUUGCCGUUGAAACUGGGGGGCUUGAGUAUGUUUGAGGCAGGCGGAAUGCGUGGUGUAGCGGUGAAAUGCAUAGAUAUCACGCAGAACCCCGAUUGCGAAGGCAGCUUACUAAGCCAUAACUGACACUGAAGCACGAAAGCGUGGGGAGCAAACGGG
rnacentral:rRNA from 1 species